rnacentral:rRNA from 1 species
CUAAGGUAGCGAAAUUCCUUGUCGGGUAAGUUCCGACCUGCACGAAUGGCGUAACGAUGGCCACACUGUCUCCUCCUGAGACUCAGCGAAGUUGAAAUGUUUGUGAUGAUGCAAUCUCCCCGCGGAAAGACGGAAAGACCCCAUGAACCUUUACUGUAGCUUUGUAUUGGACUUUGAACAGAUCUGUGUAGGAUAGGUGGGAGGCUUUGAAGCGGGAACGCCAGUUCUCGUGGAGCCGUCCUUGAAAUACCACCCUUGUAUGUUUGAUGUUCUAACGUAGGUCCCUUAUCGGGACUGCGGACAGUGUCUGGUGGGUAGUUUGACUGGGGCGGUCUCCUCCUAAAGAGUAACGGAGGAGCACGAAGGUGUGCUAAUCAUGGUCGGAAAUCAUGAGGUUAGUGUAAAGGCAAAAGCACGCUUGACUGCGAGACAGACAUGUCGAGCAGGUACGAAAGUAGGUCUUAGUGAUCCGGUGGUUCUGUAUGGAAGGGCCAUCGCUCAACGGAUAAAAGGUACUCUGGGGAUAACAGGCUGAUACCGCCCAAGAGUUCAUAUCGACGGCGGUGUUUGGCACCUCGAUGUCGGCUCAUCUCAUCCUGGGGCUGUAGCCGGUCCCAAGGGUAUGGCUGUUCGCCAUUUAAAGAGGUACGUGAGCUGGGUUUAAAACGUCGUGAGACAGUUUGGUCCCUAUCUUCCGUGGGCGCUGCAAGAUUGAGAGAGCCUGCUCCUAGUACGAGAGGACCGGAGUGGACACACCUCUGGUGUAUCGGUUGUCACGCCAGUGGCAUUGCCGAGUAGCUAAGUGUGGAAGAGAUAACCGCUGAAAGCAUCUAAGCGGGAAACUCGUUUCAAGAUGAGAUCUGCCGGGGCCUUGAGCCCCCUAAAGAGUCGUUCAAGACCAGGACGUUGAUAGGCAGGGUGUGGAAGCGCAGUAAUGCGUUAAGCUAACCAGUACUAAUUGCCCGUGAGGCUUGAGCCC